rnacentral:rRNA from 1 species
UAAGACGUAGGGGGCAAGCGUUACCCGGAAUCACUGGGCGUAAAGGGCGAGUAGGCGGCCUCAUCAGUCGGGGGUGAAAGGCCAGGGCUCAACCCUGGGAGGGCCUCCGAGACGGUGAGACUUGAGGGCAGCAGAGGCGGGUGGAAUUCCCGGAGUAGCGGUGGAAUGCGUAGAGAUCGGGAGGAACACCAGAGGCGAAGGCGACCCGCUGGGCUGGGCCUGACGCUGAGGCGCGAAAGCGUGGGGAGCGAACAGGAUUAGAUACCCUGGUAGUCCACGCCCUAAACGAUGGACGCUAGGUAUGGGGGGUAUCGACCCCCUCCGUGCCGCAGCUUACGCGAUAAGCGUCCCGUCUGGGGAGUACGGCCGCAAGGCUA